UCCUCACAUCUUAAAAACUACGAAUACUUUAAACGCAUUAUUUUGAUUUGAUUGAUCAAAGAAAUACCACAUUCAAAGUUUUGUGGUACUUUUUAACAAAAUUCUUAAUAAGAGAAGAAAGAAACAUACUACUCCAGAGAAAUGGGGAAUAAUAAUUAACAUGAAAAAUCAGGGUCUGAAUAUUUGUUGACGUUACUAAUAACAUAUGAUACUCUCUGAAAAUUGUUGUUAUUAAUAAACAUGAAAACACACUCAUUUGAAAAUACAAUAAAAAAUACUUCUUGAGAAAAAAACAACUCCUUAUAUUGACAAACAAACUGGAAGAAUCACUCAGAAACCAUUGCAUAAAAAUAUAUUAAUUAUCCUCCAGAAUAUUGGCGAGAAAUAAUUUGGAGCGAUAAAACCAAGUUCGAUGGAAUAGGUUCAGAUGGUAAACAAUUUGUUUGUGUUCGUCCAAUUAAAAGUGUGGACCCUAGAUACACCAGAAAAACAUUGAAACAUGGUGGAGGAAACAAUAUGGUUUGGGGUUCCUUUUCUUGGCAUGGGAUAGUCCCAUUAUAGAAAAUUAUUCGUAACAUCGACGUUUCAUGUAUGGAUACCUCGUGGGAGUUGUAUUAGAACCAUUUGCCAGCAAAAUAUUAACAAUACUUUUAAGUUAUGUAUAAAUUAUUUAAUAAAUAUAUAUUCUUUUAAA